UACGAGGGGGGCGAGCGUUGUUCGGAAUUAUUGGGCGUAAAGGGUGCGUAGGCGGUUUGGUAAGUCUUAUGUGAAUGACUCACGGGCUCAACUUCGGAUACGUGUCGCACGAGAAAACUGCCGGGCUUGAGUAUGGGAGAGGUGAGUGGAAUUCCUGGUGUAGCGGUGAAAUGCGUAGAUAUCAGGAGGAACACCUGUGGCGAAAGCGGCUCACUGGACCAUAACUGACGCUGAUGCACGAAAGCUAGGGGAGCAAACAGGAUUAGAACCUACC
rnacentral:rRNA from 1 species